GGUAGCGUGGCCGAGUGGUCUAAGGCGUUGGAUUUAAGAUUUAAGAAAUUUUGACUCCCAAUGACGAAAGUCGCGCGAGUUCGAACCUCGCCGCUACCA
rnacentral:tRNA from 1 species